rnacentral:rRNA from 1 species
AUUGAACGCUGGCGGCAGGCCUAACACAUGCAAGUCGAACGGUAACAGGAAGCAGCUUGCUGCUUCGCUGACGAGUGGCGGACGGGUGAGUAAUGUCUGGGAAACUGCCUGAUGGAGGGGGAUAACUACUGGAAACGGUAGCUAAUACCGCAUAACGUCGCAAGACCAAAGAGGGGGACCUUAGGGCCUCUUGCCAUCGGAUGUGCCCAGAUGGGAUUAGCUAGUGGGUGGGGUAACGGCUCACCUAGGCGACGAUCCCUAGCUGGUCUGAGAGGAUGACCAGCCACACUGGAACUGAGACACGGUCCAGACUCCUACGGGAGGCAGCAGUGGGGAAUAUUGCACAAUGGGCGCAAGCCUGAUGCAGCCAUGCCGCGUGUAUGAAGAAGGCCUUCGGGUUGUAAAGUACUUUCAGCGGGGAGGAAGGGAGUAAAGUUAAUACCUUUGCUCAUUGACGUUACCCGCAGAAGAAGCACCGGCUAACUCCGUG